rnacentral:rRNA from 1 species
CCCGGGCCUUGUACACACCGCCCGUCACACCACGAAAGUCGGCAACACCCGAAGCCGGUGGCCUAACCCGCAAGGGAGGGAGCCGUCGAAGGUGAGGCUGGCGAUUGGGGUG